UACAGAGGUCCCAAGCGUUGUUCGGAUUCACUGGGCGUAAAGGGUGCGUAGGUGGUGAGGUAAGUCGGAUGUGAAAUCUCGGAGCUUAACUCCGAAAUGGCAUUGGAAACUACCUUGCUCGAGGGUUGGAGGGGGGACUGGAAUACUUGGUGUAGCAGUGAAAUGCGUAGAUAUCAAGCGGAACACCAGUGGCGAAGGCGAGUCCCUGGACAACUCCUGACACUGAGGCACGAAAGCUAGGGGAGCAAACAGG
rnacentral:rRNA from 1 species